rnacentral:rRNA from 1 species
CAAGUCGAGCGGCAGCGGAAAGUAGCUUGCUACUUUGCCGGCGAGCGGCGGACGGGUGAGUAAUGUCUGGGGAUCUGCCUGAUGGAGGGGGAUAACUACUGGAAACGGUAGCUAAUACCGCAUGACCUCGAAAGAGCAAAGUGGGGGACCUUCGGGCCUCACGCCAUCGGAUGAACCCAGAUGGGAUUAGCUAGUAGGUGGGGUAAUGGCUCACCUAGGCGACGAUCCCUAGCUGGUCUGAGAGGAUGACCAGCCACACUGGAACUGAGACACGGUCCAGACUCCUACGGGAGGCAGCAGUGGGGAAUAUUGCACAAUGGGCGCAAGCCUGAUGCAGCCAUGCCGCGUGUGUGAAGAAGGCCUUCGGGUUGUAAAGCACUUUCAGCGAGGAGGAAGGCAUUGUGGUUAAU